GUUGUAUAGUCAAGUAAUUAAGUGCAUGUGGUGGAUGCCUUGGCAGUCAGAGGCGAUGAAAGACGUGAUAGCCUGCGAAAAGCUCCGGGGAGGCGGCAAAUAUCCUUUGAUCCGGAGAUGUCUGAAUGGGGGAACCCACCUACUUUAAGGUAGGUAUUGCAACAUGAAUACAUAGUGUUGCAAGGCGAACGAGGGGAAGUGAAACAUCUCAGUACCCUUAGGAAAAGAAAUCAAUUGAGAUUCCCUCAGUAGCGGCGAGCGAACGGGGAUCAGCCCAUUAAGUUAUGUGUGUUUUAGUGGAACGCUCUGGGAAGUGCGAACGUAGAGGGUGAUAUUCCCGUACACGAAAGGGCACACAUAAUGAUGACGAGUAGGGCGAGGCACGUGAAACCUUGUCUGAAUAUGGGGGGACCAUCCUCCAAGGCUAAAUACUCCUGACUGACCGAUAGUGAACCAGUACCGUGAGGGAAAGGCGAAAAGAACCCCUGUGAGGGGAGUGAAAUAGAUCCUGAAACCGCAUGCAUACAAGCAGUGGGAGCACCUUCGUGGUGUGACUGCGUACCUUUUGUAUAAUGGGUCAGCGACUUAUAUUCAGUAGCAAGGUUAACCGUAUAGGGGAGCCGUAGAGAAAUCGAGUCUUAAUAGGGCGUUUAGUUGCUGGGUAUAGACCCGAAACCAGGCGAUCUAUCCAUGAGCAGGUUGAAGGUUGGGUAACACUAACUGGAGGACCGAACCCACUGUCGUUGAAAAGCCAGGGGAUGACUUGUGGAUAGGGGUGAAAGGCUAAUCAAGCCUGGUGAUAGCUGGUUCUCCCCGAAAGCUAUUUAGGUAGCGCCUCGGACGAAUACCAUAGGGGGUAGAGCACUGUUUCGGCUAGGGGGUCAUCCCGACUUACCAAACCGAUGCAAACUCCGAAUACCUAUGAGUACUAUCCGGGAGACAGACUGCGGGUGCUAACGUCCGUAGUCAAGAGGAAAACAAUCCAGACCGCCAGCUAAGGCCCCAAAAUCAUAGUUAAGUGGGAAACGAUGUGGGAAGGCAUAGACAGCUAGGAGGUUGGCUUAGAAGCAGCCACCCUUUAAAGAAAGCGUAAUAGCUCACUAGUCGAGUCGGCCUGCGCGGAAGAUGUAACGGGGCUAAAACUAUGUGCCGAAGCUGCGGAUNNNNNNNNNNNNNNNNNNNNNNNNNNNNNNNNNGUAUACUUUGUAUACGUGGUAGGGGAGCGUUCUGUAAGCCGAUGAAGGUGUGUUGAGAAGCAUGCUGGAGGUAUCAGAAGUGCGAAUGCUGACGUGAGUAACGACAAAACGGGUGAAAAACCCGUUCGCCGAAAGACCAAGGGUUCCAGUCCAACGUUAANNNNNNNNNNNNNNNNNNNNNNNNNNNNNNNNNNNNNNNNNNNNNNNNNNNNNUCGGGGCUGGGUGAGUCGACCCCUAAGGCGAGGCCGAAAGGCGUAGUCGAUGGGAAAAUGGUUAAUAUUCCAUUACUUCUGUGUAAUGCGAUGAGAGGACGGAGAAGGCUAAAUCAGCCUGGCGUUGGUUGUCCAGGUGAAAGGAUGUAGGCAUGUAUCUUAGGCAAAUCCGGGGUACUCUAUGCUGAGAUCUGAUAGCAAGCUGUACUUGUACAGCGAAGUGGUUGAUGCCAUGCUUCCAGGAAAAGUCUCUAAGCUUCAGUUACACAGGAAUCGUACCCGAAACCGACACAGGUGGUCAGGUCGAGUAGACCAAGGCGCUUGAGAGAACUCUGCUGAAGGAACUAGGCAAAAUGGUACCGUAACUUCGGGAGAAGGUACGCUGUUGUUGGUGAUGGAACUCGCUUCCUGAGCUGACGACAGCCGCAGAAACCAGGCCGCUGCAACUGUUUAUUAAAAACAUAGCACUCUGCAAACACGAAAGUGGACGUAUAGGGUGUGAUGCCUGCCCGGUGCUGGAAGGUUAAUUGAUGGGGUUAGCGUAAGCGAAGCUCUUGAUCGAAGCCCCAGUAAACGGCGGCCGUAACUAUAACGGUCCUAAGGUAGCGAAAUUCCUUGUCGGGUAAGUUCCGACCUGCACGAAUGGCAUAAUGAUGGCGGCGCUGUCUCCAGCAGAGGCUCAGUGAAAUCGAAAUCGCUGUGAAGAUGCAGUGUACCCGCGGCUAGACGGAAAGACCCCGUGAACCUUUACUGCAGCUUGACACUGAACUUUGACCUUACUUGUGUAGGAUAGGUGGGAGGCUUUGAAGCUGGAACGCUAGUUCCAGUGGAGCCGUCCUUGAAAUACCACCCUGGUAAUGUUGAGGUUCUAACUCUGUCCCGUGAUCCGGGACGAGGACCGUGUCUGGUGGGUAGUUUGACUGGGGCGGUCUCCUCCUAAAGAGUAACGGAGGAGUACGAAGGUGCGCUCAGCGUGGUCGGAAAUCACGCGUAGAGUAUAAAGGCAAAAGCGCGCUUAACUGCGAGACCCACAAGUCGAGCAGGUACGAAAGUAGGUCUUAGUGAUCCGGUGGUUCUGUAUGGAAGGGCCAUCGCUCAACGGAUAAAAGGUACUCUGGGGAUAACAGGCUGAUACCGCCCAAGAGUUCAUAUCGACGGCGGUGUUUGGCACCUCGAUGUCGGCUCAUCUCAUCCUGGGGCUGAAGCAGGUCCCAAGGGNNNNNNNNNNNNNNNNNNNNNUAUGGCUGUUCGCCAUUUAAAGAGGUACGCGAGCUGGGUUUAGAACGUCGUGAGACAGUUCGGUCCCUAUCUACCGUGGGCGCUGGAAAUUUGAGAGGAUCUGCUCCUAGUACNNNNNNNNNNNNNNNNNNNNNNNGAGAGGACCAGAGUGGACGAACCUCUGGUGUACCGGUUGUGACGCCAGUCGCAUCGCCGGGUAGCUAUGUUCGGAAGGGAUAACCGCUGAAAGCAUCUAAGCGGGAAGCCUACCUCAAGAUAAGAUUUCCCUAGGACUUUAUGUCCUCUAAAGAGCCGUUCGAGACUAGGACGUUGAUAGGUUGGAUGUGGAAGCAUAGUGAUAUGUGAAGCUGACCAAUACUAAUUGCUCGUGAGGCUUGACUAUACAACACCCAAGCAGUUG
rnacentral:rRNA from 1 species